rnacentral:snRNA from 1 species
AAAAAGGGCUUCUGUCGUGAGUGGCACACGUAUGGCAACUUGAUUGCUCUUCGUGCGGAAUCGACAUCAAGAGAUUUCGGAAGCAUAAUUUUUUGAUAUUUGGCAGCUGGUGAUCGUUGGUUUCCGGCGCCCUG